AGUCCUGACGAGUCCCAAAUAAAACGAAACACGCGUCCUGAAU
rnacentral:hammerhead_ribozyme from 1 species